AGUUGCAGAACGUCAUUGUGGGAUACAGCUCCAUAGGAACACCAAGAGAUGCAUCCUGAGGAUGAGCUCUUGGUGUGCAUCGCCCACAAGUACAAGAAGACCACAGCUCAGAUGGCCCUGCGGUUCAACAUCCAGAGAGGGGUGGUAGUCAUCCCAAAGAGCUUCAACCCACAGCGCAUAAAGGUUAACUUUUAGGCUGAAAUGAAGGCAAUGGAGGACCUAAACAAGAGCAUUCGGUU